CCUCAACCUAAUCAGCAGAUGGUUUUAGAGACAUUCUGAGCAACUGUGUCACCCACAAAGAGACUCGCCUGUUGGAACAUCUCUAACUUUUAAGUAUUCUGGAAAUGUCACAAGCCUGGAGUUGAGCAGAAAGAGUUCUCUGGUUGAAAGAAAGAAGCUUAAGCUGACUUCUGAAUUCUGAGAUCACACUGCACAGUGGAGACAGAUGAAGAAAAAGGAGCAGCAUCCGGUGGAAGAUGUUGGUGCCCUACCAACUCCCAUAGCGAGUGAGGAAGGUUGGAAGAAAUGGCCGGUUUCUAUCAUCACUGCUACUGCUCUUACCAUCUCUGCCAUCAACAUCCCAAUAAUACAUAUAUUCUUAGUUCUUGUAUUAUUGGGAUAUGUAUUACUGGGAUGUUAAUGACAGGAACCAAGAAUUAACAAACUUACAAACAGAUGUAAAUCUGGGGCUGGGAAGUUUACAAUGUGGGUGAGAUAAAGGAUGAGCAAAGGGAAUUUACUGUGUCCCAAGGCAGUGAGGAAUUUCUUCCUUGUCACAUUUUCUUCCUGGGUGGUAAAAGCCAAGUGUAUCUGUGCCUGGAGGAGAGGCCCGACUCCACAGAAAAGGCCCAGCUCUUCAAAACGGGAUCGUAUCACUGCUCCUGAGGAACAAUAAGACCAUCAUACCC
rnacentral:lncRNA from 1 species